rnacentral:rRNA from 1 species
GAUGAACGCUGACAGAAUGCUUAACACAUGCAAGUCAACUUGAAUUUGGGUUUUUAACUUAAGUUUGGGUGGCGGACGGGUGAGUAACGCGUAAAGAACUUGCCUCACAGCUAGGGACAACAUUUGGAAACGAAUGCUAAUACCUAAUAUUAUGAUAAUAGGGCAUCCUAUAAUUAUGAAAGCUAUAAGCGCUGUGAGAGAGCUUUGCGUCCCAUUAGCUAGUUGGAGAGGUAACGGCUCACCAAGGCGAUGAUGGGUAGCCGACCUGAGAGGGUGAUCGGCCACAAGGGGACUGAGACACGGCCCUUACUCCUACGGGAGGCAGCAGUGGGGAAUAUUGGACAAUGGACCAAGAGUCUGAUCCAGCAUUUCUGUGUGCACGAUGAAGUUUUUCGGAAUGUAAAGUGCUUUCUGUUGGGAAGAAAGAUAUGACGGUACCAACAGAAGAAGUGACGGCUAAAUACGUGCCAGCAGCCGCGUUAAUACGUAUGUCACGAUCGUUAUUCGGAUUUAUUUGGGCGUAAAGCGCUUCUAGGUGGUUAUGUAAGUCUGGAUGUGAAAAUGCAGGGCUCAACUCUGUUUGCUUUGGUAACUGUAUACUAGAGUACUGGAGAUGUAACCGUAUCUACUAGUGUUUGUUGAAAUUCGUAUAUUUUGUAUGAAUGCUGAUGUGUAAGACAUCUUCUGGACUGAUAUUGCGCUGAUGUGUGGAUAGUGUGUGGUAUCUAACUUGGUUAUAUCCCUUGGUGGUCUAGGGGGUUUUCUUAUUGUAUAUCAGUUUUUGUGAUCCGUCGCUCUCCUGGGUUGUUCUGUAAAAAAAAUAAUUAAUGUUGUCGUGGUUUUUACCUUGCUGUAGUCUGUUUUUGUGCUGGUUGGUUG